rnacentral:rRNA from 1 species
AUUGAACGCUGGCGGCAUGCUUUACACAUGCAAGUCGAACGGCCGCGCGGGCUGCGUCCUUUCCUCGUGUUGCCGACGGGCGGGUGAUUCAUCCGAACGUACCCUGUCUUUGGGGCUAGGCUGGCUACAGCCGGAUUAAUCUCGCAUCCGACCUGAUUUUGAAACGCGUGGUCCAAAAGGCCUCGCGCUAUUGGAGCGGCCUAUGUCGGAUUAGCUAGUUGGUUGGGUAAAGGCUUACCAAGGCGACGAUCCGUAGCUGGUCUGAGAGGACGACCAGCCACACUGGGACUGAGACACGGCCCAGACUCCUACGGGAGGCAGCAGUGGGGAAUUUUGGACAAUGGGGGAAAGCCUGACCCAGCCAUGCCGCGUGAGGGAAGAAGGCCUUCGGGUUGUAAAACGCUUUUGUUAGGGAAGAAAAUCUGUGGGCUAAACCGCCGGGGGGAUGACGGUACCGAAAGAAUAAGCAACGGCUAACUACGUG